GUCGAACGGAAAGGCCCUUCGGGGUACUCGAGUGGCGAACGGGUGAGUAACACGUGGGUGAUCUGCCCUGCACUUUGGGAUAAGCCUGGGAAACUGGGUCUAAUACCGAAUAUGAUCACGGGCUUCAUGGUCUGUGGUGGAAAGCUUUUGCGGUGUGGGAUGGGCCCGCGGCCUAUCAGCUUGUUGGUGGGGUAAUGGCCUACCAAGGCGACGACGGGUAGCCGGCCUGAGAGGGUGACCGGCCACACUGGGACUGAGAUACGGCCCAGACUCCUACGGGAGGCAGCAGUGGGGAAUAUUGCACAAUGGGCGCAAGCCUGAUGCAGCGACGCCGCGUGAGGGAUGACGGCCUUCGGGUUGUAAACCUCUUUCAAUAGGGACGAAGCGCAAGUGACGGUACCUAUAGAAGAAGGACCGGCCAACUACGUGCCAGCAGCCGCGGUAAUACGUAGGGUCCGAGCGUUGUCCGGAAUUACUGGGCGUAAAGAGCUCGUAGGUGGUUUGUCGCGUUGUUCGUGAAAACUCACAGCUUAACUGUGGGCGUGCGGGCGAUACGGGCAGACUUGAGUACUGCAGGGGAGACUGGAAUUCCUGGUGUAGCGGUGGAAUGCGCAGAUAUCAGGAGGAACACCGGUGGCGAAGGCGGGUCUCUGGGCAGUAACUGACGCUGAGGAGCGAA
rnacentral:rRNA from 1 species